rnacentral:rRNA from 1 species
AUUGAACGCUAGCGGGAUGCUUUACACAUGCAAGUCGAACGAGUGGCGGACGGGUGAGUAAUAUAUCGGCACGUGCCCAAUCGCGGGGUAUAACUACUCGAAAGAGUGGCUACUACCGCAUACUAUUGGACCGGCCGAUAGCGGAUUAGCUAGUUGGUGGGGUAACGGCUCACCAAGGCAACGAUCCGUAGCUGGUUUUAGAGGAAGACAAGCCACACUGGGACGGAGACACGGCCCAGACGCCGACGGGAGGAAGCAGGGGGGAAGUUUGGACAAUGGGGGAAACCCUGAUCCAGCGAUGCCGCGUGUAUGAGAAGGCCUUAGGGUUGUAAAGUACUUUUGGGAGAGAAGCGGUAUCUGCAGAAUAAGCACCGGCUAACUACGUGCCAGCAGCCGCGGUAAUUC